UAAUACGAAGGGGGCGAGCGUUGUUCGGAUUUACUGGGCGUAAAGGGCGCGCAGGCGGCAGACCAAGUCAGGCGUGAAAGCCCCGGGCUCAACCUGGGAACUGCGUCUGGGACUGGUUUGCUAGAGAUCGGGAGAGGAGAGUGGAAUUCCCAGUGUAGAGGUGAAAUUCGUAGAUAUUGGGAAGAACACCGGUGGCGAAGGCGGCUCUCUGGACCGAUACUGACGCUGAGGCGCGAAAGCGUGGGGAGCAAACAGGAUUAGAUACCCUGGUAGUCCACGCUGUAAACGAUGUGUGCUAGACGUUGGGGAGCCUAGCUCUUCGGUGUCGCAGCUAACGCGGUAAGCACACCGCCUGGGGAGUACGGCCGCAAGGUUA
rnacentral:rRNA from 1 species